rnacentral:rRNA from 1 species
GGUUGCGGACAGUGUCUGGUGGGUAGUUUGACUGGGGCGGUCUCCUCCUAAAGAGUAACGGAGGAGCACGAAGGUUGGCUAAUCCUGGUCGGACAUCAGGAGGUUAGUGCAAUGGCAUAAGCCAGCUUGACUGCGAGCGUGACGGCGCGAGCAGGUGCGAAAGCAGGUCAUAGUGAUCCGGUGGUUCUGAAUGGAAGGGCCAUCGCUCAACGGAUAAAAGGUACUCCGGGGAUAACAGGCUGAUACCGCCCAAGAGUUCAUAUCGACGGCGGUGUUUGGCACCUCGAUGUCGGCUCAUCACAUCCUGGGGCUGAAGUAGGUCCCAAGGGUAUGGCUGUUCGCCAUUUAAAGUGGUACGCGAGCUGGGUUUAGAACGUCGUGAGACAGUUCGGUCCCUAUCUGCCGUGGGCGCUGGAGAACUGAGGGGGGCUGCUCCUAGUACGAGAGGACCGGAGUGGACGCAUCACUGGUGUUCGGGUUGUCAUGCCAAUGGCACUGCCCGGUAGCUAAAUGCGGAAGAGAUAAGUGCUGAAAGCAUCUAAGCACGAAACUUGCCCCGAGAUGAGUUCUCCCUGACCCUUUAAGGGUCCUGAAGGAACGUUGAAGACGACGACGUUGAUAGGCCGGGUGUGUAAGCGCAGCGAUGCGUUGAGCUAACCGGUACUAAUGAACCGUGAGGCUUAACCUUACAACGCCGAAGCUGUU